UACAUUGUCAGGAUUUAUAUUGAGGAGAUAGGGGGUGUCAUUUUCUGUACACAUUCCUGUCCCCACAACUUUCUCUUCAGCCUCUUCUAUAACAUCAAAAUAUUUGUUGUCUGUACUUUUCUUUCUCCGCAGUGGUUUUCUUAUCUCCUUUUCUGUUGGUCACACUGAAACCACCUCCAAUACCACAUUGUUAAUGGAAAUUCACACACUUAUUAGGUUUUUCCUUCUGUAGAACCCUUCCAACUCCUCAUUGUUCUUACCAAAGAAAGAAGAUGAACUGUGAGAUUAUUUGAGGCCCCCCCCCUUUUUUUCUGGUGGAAGUAAGCAAAGAACGGAAAGAUCUCACCUUUCUAUGGAUAAAGUAAAACUCCAACAUGUUAUCGUUUUUUAACUGAGUUAUUUCAUAAUGUUGAAACAUGAAUAAUAACAAAAUAAUUAGAUUGGUUCUUAGAGAAGGGAUUUUAAAAUAUAAAAGCUCAUUAAAGCACUUUUCUUGCUUAGUGUUUAGGUAGAAUAAGUUCGCUUUAAUUCCAGUUUGUGUCACUUCCUGUCUCUCUCUGAAUAGUAAAAAAAAAAAACAAGAAUGUUCUCACAAAUGUGUGUCUGCCAACAAAUUAAUACUCCACAAAGAGAAACUCUGCCCCACAUGGCAGCUUCCAAUAAAUGCUCUGAUUCAAAUCACAACUCUUUCAUUUUUUUUUUAUCCCCUUCCCCCUUGAGGGAGCACAUUUAGACAAUAUUUGAGGAUGUCAUCUUUCUGCUUUUUAAAACUCUCUAGAGUUUUCAUUUAAGACUCUUAAUGGUUGAUGACUAAAACUACAGAUCUGGAUAGUGGAAAAACUAAUAAUCUUAAAAAACACUUCUGAAAUGUGGUAAAGUGCAUUCAUUCUCUUCCCUCCUCUUUGUCCUUUUCAAAGAAAGAAAGUUCAAUAUGAAACCAAUGCAAAUUAUGACUUUACUCAGUGAGAUAUUUUACCUUCUUUCAGACUGUUUCAUACUGAAGUUUAUAAAAAAAAAAGAAAAAUAACUAUGUUAAAAUAGGAGGGUUAAGGAAUGUAUUAUUCAUAAGCAUAAUGAACACAAGAACCUGUUUUUCCAGAAGAAUUGGGUUGAUUAAAUCAUUCACCACACAAGCCUCUAGUUAUUUAUUUUUGUCUUUAGAAUUACAGUACUUAGCUUUUAUAAUAAAGUGGACUUGAUACCCAUAUUUGGUAUGGCAGUUGAAAGUAGUCAAAUGAAGAAUUAUUUCAUUUUACAAAAUUUUUAGUAAGUAAGGAAUAUAAACACUAUCAGUUAAACAUAGCAAACUUGCAUUUUUUUAUUCCUUGGGCUAUAGUUUGAAAAAAAAAUCAAAUUAUUUUAUGUAACACUGAUUCUUACAGAGUUCCUUUAAGCGAAGUAUGAAAGCUGCAGUGUAAGCUUUAUUGGCCUAUAAAUAUGUCAUUAUAGUUGGACUACAUUUAUAUGCUUUGGAUUGUUGUUUAAGCCAAGAAAAUAUGUCUCUACAGGUUGACUUUUUAUUGAAGCCCUUUGAGGCAUACAACAGAAUGUAUUUUAGGCCAAGGUUAUUAAAACAGCAUUUUCAUUUUUUUGCAGCAGACUCAUUGUCAAUUAUGCUGCCACAAACUGUCUGUGGAUGGGCAGUUAUGAAUGGUUUCAUCUCCAAAUGUGUCUUUAGAAAAAGAAAGAAAAGAUAGAGGAGUCUGAGCUGAAACUGAGAAAAAAGACCCAAAGAUUAUGUGUGGGGGUCUGGCUGAAUUUAAUGAUGGGGGUUCCCUCAGUUCAAUUUCUGUUUCUAAAUCUGUCCCAUCAAAUUGAGAAAGAGUAGCUUCCCCCUUUCUUCUGUUGCUGGGACUUUCACUGUACUUUUUGGGAGUCAACAGCAUGGUGGGGUUAAAAGAGCAGAGGGUGGGCUGUCAGGAGAAUCUUGGCUCUACAUGUAGAUCUGUCACCACUGGAAAAGUCACUGGAAGACACUGUAUGAUUUUUUACCUGAGUGCUCUCAUGAAUUUAUUAGGAUUUGAAGACAUGCCUCUUAUUGGAACAAUCCUUCCUUCCUUUCUAGACUUAAAUUUUAUGUGUAUAUAUUUUUUGUUUUUUAUUUUUUUCAGUGAAGAGAAAUAACUUUUAUUAAUGAGAGCAAUGAAUUCUUAAUUCUCAGCCACAAAAAAAGAUAAAAUACAAUGAGAUUUUCAAAUGUAAAAUAAAAUAUCUGUACUCACUUCAUUGCUGCAGAGAUAAAGUGAAAUAUUAUUAUACAGCUCUAAGGUGACAUGAAAAGAACACAACUGUUCAACCAAAUGGCUCAAAGUAGGUUUAAAUUUUAUGUGUAUAUUAAAGAGUCUUUGGAAGUAUCCAGGCUACCAGUAUUUACCUCUAGGAUACAAUAUUGGAGGGUUUCUGGUUUUCAUGCAUGUGUAGGAAGGAAGGAACUCACAGGUAGCAGGGCAAACAGCUACAACUAUGUUAUAAGUUCAUGCACGUGUGAUAGGGAGGACAGGUGGUUUCUGUGGUCCUCAAAUCCCUUUUAGAUUUGCACCUUUCUUGAUUUUGAAGUCUGGGGUCAAAUAUAGAGAUCAACUUGCUGGAUAAUCAGAUGUAGUGGGGAGAGAAUCAACACAUUAGCAACUGUAGGGAAUAGGCAGGCAUCAGUCUAAAUGGACACAAACCUCAGGGCCACGAUAGCAGCCAGGGACCUCUUCUUCACUCCAGCUCUGGAAUACUCUGAGAAGAAAAUCUCCCCCAAUCAAACACCUUGUUUACAUAGGCAUGCUUAAAUGCAAACAAGCUCCCUUUUUAAAAUGCAGAAGAAUAUUAAUUUGUGAGGCAAUGGUGCUUUGGGGUAGUUUUUUGGUGAGUGAAAGUAAA
rnacentral:lncRNA from 1 species